ACUUCCUCCUUGCCGGAGCUGUAUCCGGGUCGCUCUUCUCCCUAUUGUCUCUGACAGUCGGCCCUAGGCUGUGGAAAAUUCUGGGUCUUUUGUUGCUUCUGGUGCAGGCUAAUAAAGUUUUCUUUUUAUUUCCAGUUUUCACCGGGGCAGUUCCCCUCGCAGGGCGGCCGGUUCGGGCCUGGCGCCCCUGGCCGGGGAGCGCGGGGGAAGGGGCGCCGGGCGGGCGCGGGGCGUGGGGAGGGACGGUAGCCCGGCCCCGGGGUCGCCCCUGCUCGGUCGGCGCACCGCCCUGCCUCAGUCGCUGCUCUCCGGUCUGUCUCCUUGGCCCUCUGCGCGGCCCCGCUGCCUUGCCUCUCACAGCCUUCCCUAGGUCUCCAAACGACCACCUCACGGAUUCCUUAUGGAUCGCAGCUCCAAGAGGAGGCAGGUGAAGCCUUUGGCCGCUUCUCUCCUGGAAGCUCUUGAUUAUGAUAGUUCAGAUGACAGUGAUUUUAAAGUUGGAGAUGCUUCAGAUUCUGAAGGGAGUGGUAAUGGAAGUGAAGACCCUUCAAAGGACAGUGGAGAAGGUUCCUGUAGUGAUUCUGAGGAAAACAUUUUAGAAGAAGAACUGAGUGAAGAUAUUCAAGUAAAAGAAGAACAGCUUAAAAAUUCUACAGAGGAAAUGCCAGCAGACAAACAGUUAAUUAAAAUGGAAAAGAAGGAAGAGGAAGAAAAUGGAGAAAGACCUAGAAAGAAAAAGGAGAAAGAGAAGGAGAAAGAAAAGGAAAGGGAGAAGGACAAAGAAAAGGCAACAGUAUCUGAUAGUGCAGCUGCUUCUGCUGCUGGCACCACACCGGCCACAAGCCCUCCUGCUGUUACCUCCCCUUCUGUCNCNACCACCACCACCACCACCACCACCACGGAGGAACAAGUCAGUGAACCCAAGAAAUGGAAUCUUCGUCGAAACCGUCCCCUGUUGGACUUUGUAUCCAUGGAAGAACUGAAUGAUAUGGAUGAUUANGACAGUGAAGAUGAUAAUGACUGGAGACCUACUGUAGUAAAGAGAAAGGGGAGAUCGGCAUCUCAGAAGGAGGGCAGUGAUGGCGACAAUGAGGAUGAUGAAGAUGAGGGAAGUGGGAGUGAGGAAGAUGAGAAUGAUGAGGGCAAUGAUGAAGAUCAUAGCAGCCCUGCUAGCGAAGCAGGUGGCAAGAAGAAGAAGAGUAAAGUUCUUAGCAGAAACAGUGCUGAUGAUGAGGAACUGACCAAUGAUAGCCUGACCCUAUCUCAGAGCAAGAGUAAUGAGGACUCUCUGAUUCUUGAGAAGAGUCAAAACUGGAGUUCUCAGAAAAUGGACCACAUUCUGAUUUGCUGUGUUUGUCUUGGAGAUAAUAGUGAAGAUGCAGAUGAAAUAAUUCAGUGUGACAAUUGUGGCAUUACAGUUCAUGAAGGUUGUUAUGGAGUCGAUGGGGAGAGUGACUCUAUCAUGAGUUCGGCUUCUGAAAACUCCACUGAGCCUUGGUUUUGUGAUGCCUGUAAAUGUGGUGUAUCUCCUAGCUGUGAACUAUGUCCUAAUCAGGAUGGGAUUUUCAAGGAGACGGAUGCUGGAAGAUGGGUCCACAUCGUUUGUGCCCUAUAUGUUCCUGGAGUAGCCUUUGGAGAUAUUGAUAAAUUACGACCAGUAACAUUAACAGAAAUGAACUAUUCUAAAUAUGGUGCCAAGGAGUGUAGCUUUUGUGAAGAUCCUCGCUUUGCUAGAACUGGAGUUUGCAUUAGCUGUGAUGCAGGCAUGUGUAGAGCCUAUUUUCAUGUUACCUGUGCCCAGAAGGAAGGCCUGCUUUCAGAGGCAGCGGCAGAAGAGGAUAUAGCAGAUCCAUUUUUUGCUUAUUGUAAGCAGCAUGCAGACAGGUUAGACAGAAAAUGGAAAAGAAAAAACUACUUGGCUCUACAAUCCUAUUGUAAAAUGUCAUUGCAAGAGAGAGAAAAACAGCUGUCUCCUGAAGCACAGGCAAGGAUCAAUGCCCGACUACAGCAAUAUCGUGCCAAGGCAGAGCUGGCUCGAUCUACCAGACCACAAGCCUGGGUUCCAAGGGAAAAGCUACCCAGGCCACUCACAAGUAGUGCUUCGGCCAUUCGUAAGCUUAUGCGCAAAGCAGAACUGAUGGGAAUCAGUACGGAUAUUUUUCCAGUGGACAACUCAGAUACUAGUUCUAGUGUGGAUGGAAGGCGGAAGCAUAAGCAACCAGCUCUCACUGCUGAUUUUGUGAAUUACUAUUUUGAGAGAAAUAUGCGCAUGAUUCAAAUUCAGGAAAAUAUGGCUGAACAAAAGAAUAUAAAGGAUAAAUUAGAGAAUGAGCAAGAAAAGCUUCAUGUAGAAUAUAAUAAGCUCUGUGAAUCAUUAGAGGAACUGCAAAAUCUGAAUGGGAAACUUCGAAGUGAAGGGCAAGGGAUAUGGGCCUUACUUGGCCGAAUUACAGGGCAGAAGUUGAAUGUACCAGCAAUCUUACGAGCACCUAAGGAAAGAAAACCAAGUAAAAAAGAAGGAGGCACACAAAAGACAUCUACUCUUCCUACAGUGCUUUAUAGUUGUGGAAUUUGUAAGAAGAACCAUGAUCAGCAUCUUCUUUUACUGUGUGACACCUGUAAACUGCAUUAUCAUCUCGGCUGCCUUGAUCCUCCUCUUACAAGGAUGCCGAGAAAGACGAAAAACAGUUAUUGGCAAUGCUCAGAGUGUGACCAGGCAGGGAGCAGCGACAUGGAAGCAGAGAUGGCCAUGGAAACCUUACCAGAUGGAACAAAACGAUCAAGGAGACAGAUUAAGGAGCCAGUGAAGUUUGUGCCACAGGAUGUCCCACCAGAACCUAAGAAGAUUCCAAUAAGAAACACGAGAACCAGAGGACGAAAGCGAAGCUUUGUUCCUGAGGAAGAAAAACAUGAGGAAAGAGUUCCUAGGGAAAGGAGGCAGAGGCAGUCUGUGUUACAAAAGAAGCCCAAAGCUGAAGACUUAAGAACUGAAUGUUCAACUUGCAAAGGAACUGGAGAUAAUGAGAAUCUCGUCAGAUACCCUUCAUGAGACCCAACUCUGCCACAGCUCAUCCUCGGAGGCAGUCCUGGAAACCUCUUUUAUAAGUGUGAUUUUAAAAUGUGGAUAAAACUCUCAGUAGAGCAUAUAAACUAAAGGAGAACAGCAGCUAUCUUGUUCUUCCCAUAAGCUUAUCACUGCAGAAAGUGCUUUUGCUUGUCAAGUUUGGAUAGAAUGUAAUUGAUUGCUUUAUUAUAUGGGUAGACAAGGCAGUUAAUUUGCCUGCGUGGAUUUCCUUUUUCUAUUUUUCUUUUUUCUCUUUUCUCUUUUCUCUUUUCUCUUCUCUCUUCUCUCUUCUCUCUUCUCUCUUCUCUCUCUCUCUCUCUCUCUCUCUCUCUCUCUCUCUCUGUUACAAUAUUCAGAAACACUGGGUGUAUGUAUUAUUAAAAACAAUAGUGGUAAUGUCUUAUCAGAAUUAUUUUAGUUGGUAAAUGUCUUCCCUCUUGUUUCUUUGGCAUAAUACAAUGCAGUAUUUGGACUGAAAACUAAAGGAAGCCAGUGGGGCUUUCCUGCUCUGUGCUCCCCUGUUACUGAAUUACUCUCUGUGUGUUAUUUGUUUGUAAAAAGGACAAUGCUUCCCACUGAUCUGCAGGUCUGUAUCACCUCCCUUACUGCGUGUAUUCACAUACGAGAACAACCCUAGACUCAUAUGUAAUGCUAUUUCUAUUUGUGUAUCCAGCAAAAGUGAAGGACUGGUGAAGAUUACAACUCUUUGAGUACUGUGGAAGCACUUGAUGUCAGCACGGACAUUUUAUAACUAGAAAUUCAACUCAAGAAUGAACAUAGUACCUGUAUUAGUAUUUAGGUAUUUUUUUCCAGAAAUAUCAAAAUUUAUUCCUUUUUGUUUUAUUUAAUAUGAACUUGUUGUGUUCCAUAUAAUUUUACAUUUGAACUUAAAUGUGAAGCUAUUAAAUGCGGGAAAUACAGAGCUUGUUGUGUAUACAGCCUGCCUGCUGAACGAUCUUCACCAGCCCCUGUAUCUUCCCAGAGGUUCACAGAGUUUACAUUUGAUCCUCAUGCUUUACUGAUCCAGAUUUAAGCCAACAGCAGAAAUACUUUGAAUAUUGCACCACCUAAUCUUGAACUGAUUUAGAAGAGCCUGCUGAAAUUGAAAUGCACAUAUACAUGUAAAUUGUCAAACUGUCUCUUAAAAUUCCAUUGUUUAUCAUUGUGGGUUUGGGCCUUUUCAGGUAUAAGGGCAUUUGGAAUAGUUUAAACUUUAGGAUUAGAAUAGAUAGUAAAUGCAAGUGUAAUUGUAAAGCUGGUGUUUCUAGUAAUCUGUAGUUAAAGGAACCAUAUGAGUGCAUAAAAUGUUUAGUAAAAUUAAACAUGUAUGAAAUAAUGUAUAAGGAUAUUAGUAAUUUAUUGAUCUUAUUGCACUGGAAAAAAUACUCAUAAUUCUUAGGAAAAGCAGUAUACUUUCUUUGAAUAUAAGGAAGAGGCAAUUGACAUUACUUAACUUAUAGCAAAGAUGGUGAACUCCAGAAAAGUUUAAGAGAAAUGACAAUGGAUGCUUACCAUUUUUCAAAUGAACUCUGCUUUAGUCAAAUUGUCUUUUAGCAUAAAGUAAGAAAACAUUAAUGAGUAUUUUUUAAUUUAGGGUUUCUUUUUCCCUCUGAUGGGUUUCUGUUUUGGUUUUGAGAAAUCAUAGGUAGUAUCAUGGUUGUAGUGGUAGUGUUAACCAAAAGCCUUUCCACGGUGGUUACUGUUAGAACAGUGUAAUUGUCAUUCUUCACCAUUCAGUUUUCAGUGGUAUAUAAGCUUGGUAAAAGCCCCAUGUUACAUGUUGUCACAGUUCCUACAUGAUAUAGUCUUCAAAGUCAUAUUCAGAGCAGAAUGAAGCAUUUCUUUUAAUAAUAUCCUAAAUGAAGUACAUUAACUUUUGCACGUUAUUGGCCUUUUGCUCUUCAAGAUAAAAAUUAAUGUUUAUCUGUAAAAACAUUCUAAGUAAUUUAUAUCUUAUAAAUUUAUAACACAUAAGAGAAUGACAGACAGCUCAGUUAUUUGACAGUUAUUUGCUGCAGGAUAGGAAACGGAAGGAAUAUUAAAAUGUCAGGAAAGGGCUGAUAUUUUAAGGGAGAGUGCUUAAUUGGUAAAGUGCCAUAUUAGCAUCAGUACCUACCCAUGUGAAAAGCUGGCACAGACUUAUACCCUAGUAAUGCAAAACACAGGCUAAAGGAUCUCUGUAAUUGACUGGUAAGUCACCCUACAGAUUUGGCAAAUACCAGGCCAAUGAGAGGCCAUUUAUCAAAAAAUGUGGUGGAGGAUUUCUGAAGCUGCAUGGCAGACCAACACACACACUCACAAACACACACACACACACACACACACACACGAACACACACACACAUGAUACUACCCCCCCCCCCCGCUAACACAUAGUUAGCUCCCCUAACAUAUAAUAUUGGGAAAGAAAUGAAAUGCCUCUGAAAUACCAAAUGGCUGGAAUGGUAGUCAUGUAUCAGAGUCGCAGGAAGAACUUUGAGACUCAGUUGACUAUCAUCUUCUUCUUAUCCUCCAGCUCCACCAAAUGUUCUCUCCAUCACUUUCUGGAGUUUCUAAUUCUGUAGGUCUGUGAUGAACCUCAAAAAUUUGAGUUCGUAGCAGGUUUCAAGUAAUGUUGAUUGAGCUGGUCAAGGGCAUUACUUUGAAAACAAUUCAUAUAUAGUUAUCUGUUUAAAAUAAUCAUUAGUUUGUUCAAUGUUGAUUAAUAAUGGUUGUGGGUUUAAUGCCUUUAAGGGGCUCUUCGAUUCCUCAAAAGAUUUGUUUCUAGACAAAGGGUUUGUAGAAAAGUAGUGUCUUCUGAAUCCAAGUACAACUUCCUUAAUUAGAAAAAUCCAGUUAAGGAUUUCUUCAUUAAUAGAGCAACACUGCUUGCCCAAAAUGUCAUAAUCCGUUCAUUUAACAAGAACAGUUUUGUACGAGAACAAAUUUUAGCCUUAGUGUGUAUUGAGUUUAAGUUUAGAUAUUUAUGUAUCAGUUAUGUAACACCACAUCUUGUGUUUCUUGAAUGUGUAUCUGAAACCAUAUGUGGCAUAAAAUUAGUUUUCUGACAAAUAAUGUUCACAUUUGUUAACUUACUUUCCUGUUUAUGCAACAGUGAACUACUUUUUAAACACUCAUAUUUACAAACUUUAAACACACACACAUACACACCUCCUCACAUGUAUCUUUUACUUGACUCACAAUAUGGAAAUAUUUCACCCAGAUCUGUUUAAAAAUUCAGGAGGAUUCUGCAACAGAUUUAGAAUAUUAACAUUUUCUGAAACAUUUUCAGUUUUCUGAAAUUAUUUUUGACUUUUCAUACUUGUUUAAGACAUAUCAAGACUUAUGAAGGCAGAGUUUAUCUCUACCUGACUUGAGUCACUACUUUGUAAAUUUAGAUAUUUGUAAGGAAUGCGAACAGAGACGGGAUUUACAAGUGGAUCUUCAUAGAAAGAAAAAUGUAGGCUGCUUUACUGUAGUGAUCACCUCAAGGUGCUCUGUAAGCCUGUCAGUAAGAUUGACUGCUGUUCAGGUACUUAGGAUGUAAUGAAAUUGAAUGUUCAUGCUGGGCUUGGUAAAUAAAAUGAGAUUGACCUCCUAGCCAUUAUCUCCUUUAUCUGAUUUACAUUGUAAAAUCAGGAUCUACACUAUUGAUUGGAGUAUAAUUAGUUAAUUAUGAACAGGAAAAUGCAAAAUUACAUGGAGCUUGAACACAGCAGGUUGCAGUGCUAAAAUCUUUCCCAGGGCAUGAGCAGAGGGAGAUCAGUUUAUUAGAGAACAAAGCAGAUGAGUUUAAGGUACGGAAAUGUCUAAUCUAUUUCUCAUGCUGUGAAGAGAUAUUUGCCCUUAUUUUGUAUUGUCACGAAUUGCCUUGUUUCUUGUUCUGGGUUUCCUUGUUUUUGUUUUGUUUUGUUUUCUUAUUUCACUUUUAAAGUUGCAAGCUGGCUGUUGCAGAUAUAAAUACUGAAUUGAUUCCACACUUUAGGUGGGAUUGGAUUUGGCUUUUCCCAAAUAGUGUUCACAUUAUCAAUAUCCAUCUGUAAUGAGAAAUUUUAGAUCACGCACUCAUUUCACUGUUUCCUGUGAGAGAAGUCCCCAGUAGCAUUCACAAAAUAGGUUCAUCAUUUUUUCUGAUGUUUGUGAAAUAUGACUUAAAACAAGUUUUGAAUUAACAUUUAUAGAAAGCAUUCAUGUGGGUGGUGGCUUGCACUAAAAUUGUUACCUGUUACAAGGAUUAAAAUAGUUUACUUAUAGAUAUUGUACCAUUGAUAGAAUGUAGGGUUUUGUAACAGCUAUUAUUUAAAAUUUUUUAAUUGGCCUCACUAUAUAUUUAUUCUACAUAUUAAGACAUUUAAUUGAAAUGAUUGAUCAGUGUUCACUGCAGUAACUUACCACAGUUAGUUGCUAAAAUUGUAUUUGAAUUCCUAGUAAGGUUUUAUUUAAGCAGUGGUAAUAGUCAAGACUAAUUGAAAGGAAAGUCAGAAGAGCCAGCCAGUCAGUUCUCUAGAUGCUCAUGUUUCUAGGUGAGAAGUGCAGUGUUCAGAGUGUCUCAGAGAAAGUUUCCUUAUUCAUCAUUAUAUAGGGAAUACUGACUGUUGUGCUUCAUUAAGGUAACAGUUAUCAACACGAAUAUGACUGUAAAGCCGUGCAUCCCUUUUAAAGUCUCAGCCUCAGAGUCUGCUUCUUUCCAAAGGCCAGUCUGCUUAGGAGGUACCUUCACUUAAAACAACUAGUGUUUUUUUGUUUUGUUUUGUUUUGUUUUGUUUUGUUUUGUUUUGUUUUGUUAAGGAAUGACUUAGUAUAUGCCACAAAUAAGCUUAUUAUUAUUUGAAAUUAAGAAAGCUAAAGAAACCCUUUAGAGCAAUGGUUCUCAACCUUCCCAAUGCUGUGACAACCCUCUUAUAUAGUUCCCCUCAUUGUGGUAAGCACCAACCAUAAAAUUAUUUUUGUCACUUUCAUAACUAAUUUUUUUAGAGUUAUGAAUUGUAAUGUGAAUAUCUGUGUUUUCUGAUGGUCAUAGGCAAGUCCUGUGGGGGUGAGGUGGGGAGGACUGUAGGGGUCAUGACCCACAGGUUGAAAACCACUGUUCUAGCACCUUGGCUACUUUGCCUAGGCGUAAGAGAAAAUUUUGAGUUAGAUAUGUUUGCUUAUUUCCACAUUGUCAGUAGUCCCUCGACACUGAGUUUAAUGCUUGUUAUGUGGAUCAUAGCACACAGGAAGAUCAAUCAUUUUCUCUUCUUCUCUAGGGUGCUGUACUUACUCAUAACGCUAAGUAAGUAUUUUAAUAAAAGUAGAGCUGUGCUUAUUUAGUCUCUACAUCUUCCUAAAUCAACGUAGAGAGCUUCUCUGUCAUUUGUAUUUGUGUCAAACAUUAAUGUAGUAUGUAGGAAGUUGAGCUUGAUAGGGACUUAGUUGGUCAGACUUUGUUCACAUUAAAAAUGGGGGUUGUUUGAUUUCAGUAUACUACAAACUUUAGAAUUCUCUGUAGUCUAAUGUGCACUAUAUUUAUUAAAUAUUUUAAAUAUACUUCUUUAGUCAUCAAGUUUAGUUUUUAUUUAAAGACAUGUUCUUCAUAUGCUAAAUUUAUAGUCUCUUCAUGGUUAAGGUAUUGCCUUUUUACUAUAAUAUGCUAUUGGUAUAAUAAUGUUUUUCUUACAUCAACAUUUGUUUCAUUUAAUAAAGUGUUGUGCUAUAUUACAGUACUUUUGUGGGUCAGUGACUUCUUUUGAAAACUUAAACAUUUUAGUCAUUUGUUUUAACAAACUAAGUGUGUUCUUGUAUUGGUACAAUUAAAAUAUUUUCAAGUACUUAUUAGGAAUAGAAACUAAGGAAAAUUAAUCAGUAACUGUUUUUAUCCUAUUGUAGUUUUCAGAGUAUAGCCUCAUACAAGACUUAGUUUUUGAGUUUUAAAAACAUUUAAAAGUUUUUCUAUAUAGCCAAAAUUUACUGGUUACUAAGUUUUGAUACAAUUUUCACAGUUGUGUGUGUAAAUAGGAUAUACAAUCUACUAUUUUAAUCUUCUAUACUCUAUGUUUUUAAGAAAUUUAAUAGUAUCUCAUAAGUUUGUCAGUAGGCCUAGUUAACACAGAUUUUUCAAAUCCUGCUAGAUUUCACUUCUGCCAUGUAGGAUAUAAUGGUUAGUAGUACCUUCAGUUAUGAUUUUGUUUCAAUUUAUCAGAAUUAAUGCAAAUUUUCUACAUGAAAAUAACUUGUAAAAUCCUUUGGAUAUCUUAUAUUUUUUAUUUACUUGGCAAACAUUGACUUCAAGUGGGGUGCUAUUCUUUGAUUUUCUCUCUCUCUUGAAUUUUGGUGGUGCUAGGGUAGAGACCACCGCUUUAUGCUAUGUAAGCUUGGACUUGCAGCAUUACUUACUGGGAGUAAGCGAGAACACUAUAGAACUAUCCUAACACCCACACUGUCUGCCAUCAUGAGAGAGACGUCCUGAAAUGUAUCCUGAUGAAGGUGUCAGGAAGAAUUAGGUCAACUCUAAAGGGCAAAUGCUUCCCAGCAUCUUCUGAAAGCGCUCCCAAUACCACAACAGAUGUGAUGAAUGCAGACUGUGCUACCAUUUUGGCUGUUUAGAUCCUCCUUUGAAAAAAUCUCCUAAA